rnacentral:lncRNA from 10 species
AUACAAAUUAAAUACAGACACAGAGAAGGUCUUUUUUAAUUCAAAGGAAAAGAAUAUAUAUUCAAGAAAAGCAAAAAAGGGGUUGCACACUGCUUCAAGGUAGUAAUUGUUAAUUAUUCAAGACUGACUUCUUGUAAAGUAAUCUUCUAGAAAGACAGCUGGACUUUUAAGACUUCAUGAACUCUAAAGAUAUGGCAGGCCAGGAUCCAAGGCCAAAGGUAUAAUACCUCCAAAAGCUACGGUUAUGAGUCUUGGAAGUCAGCCCUUGGUUGUAUCAGAGGAAAUACAGUUCUCUCUAACCAUGAAUGCUGAAGAGGAAGAAUCAAGCUGGAGGCUAGGAUUAUGCCAUAUCAUACUGCUUUUGGAUCUCAGCACACAGGAUGCCAGGGGAGGGUAAUGUUCUUACCAUGAAGCUUGUCAUCAGAGGUCCAAAAGAAGAGAGCCACAAAAUGUGUACUGUUCAAUGUUGUGUGCACAUCUAGCAUGAAACAUCUUUUGCAUCAGUGACCAAUCUGAGUACUUACAUCUUAACUCUAAGGCACACACUAAAAUACAUAAUGCCUGGUUGUUCCUAGAUACUUACUUGGUAUAAAAUUUAAUUUUUUCUAAAAAUGAUCUUAUAUGGUAGCUUUUUUUUUUGAGACGGAGUUUCGCUCUUGUUGCCCAGGCUGGAGGGCAAUGGCAUGACCUCAGCUCACUGCAACCUCCAUCUCCCGGGUUCAAGCAAUUCUCCUGCUUCAGCCUCCAGAGUAGCUGGGAUCACAGGCGCCCAUCACCAUGCCCAGCUAAUUUUUUGUAUUUUUAGUAGAGACAGGGUUUCCCCAUGUUGGCCAGGCUGGUCUUGAACUCCUGACCUCAGGUGAUCCACCUGCCUCUGCCUCCCAAAGUUCUGGGAUUACAGGCGUGAGCCACCACGCCCGGUCAUAUGUAGCUCUUUACUGUCUUUACAGCAUGAUAGCUGCUUAAUACAUAUUCAAUAUUCAUUGAAUUAUAACAUUCACUGAAUUGCAAUAUUUUUUCUCAUUGUUCACUCUGUUUUCCGAUUUUUCACAUACCCAUCCACAUCCCCAAUGCUCACAACUAGCCGCAACAUGAAUACUUUAAAUCAAUGAAGU